rnacentral:rRNA from 1 species
AGAGUUUGAUCCUGGCUCAGAACGAACGCUGGCGGCGUGCCUAACACAUGCAAGUCGAACGAGAAAGUUUCCUUCGGGAAACCAGUAAAGUGGCGCAAGGGUGAGUAACACGUGAAUAAUCUGCCUACGAAUUCGGGAUAACUCGACGAAAGUUGUGCUAAUACCGGAUAAGACCACACUUCUUAUGGAGCGUGGCCAAAGGAGUCUCAAACUCCGUUUGUAGAUGAGUUCGCGGACCAUUAGCUUGUUGGCGGGAUAACAGCCCACCAAGGCGACGAUGGUUAGCCGGCCUGAGAGGGUGAUCGGCCACACUGGAACUGAGACACGGUCCAGACUCCUACGGGAGGCAGCAGUGGGGAAUAUUGCGCAAUGGGCGAAAGCCUGACGCAGCAACGCCGCGUGAGGGAUGAAGGCUCUUGAGUCGUAAACCUCUGUCAGAUGGGAAGAAUUCUGACGGUACCAUCAGAGGAAGCCCCGGCUAACUCCGUGCCAGCAGCCGCGGUAAUACGGAGGGGGCAAGCGUUGUUCGGAAUUAUUGGGCGUAAAGCGUACGUAGGCGGUUUGGUAAGUCAGAUGUGAAAGCCCUGGGCUCAACCUGGGAACUGCAUUUGAAACUACUGAACUAGAGUGUGGUAGAGGGAAGUGGAAUUUCCAGUGUAGCGGUGAAAUGCGUAGAGAUUGGAAGGAACAUCAGUGGCGAAGGCGGCCACCUGGACUGAUACUGACGCUGAGGUGCGAAAGCGUGGGUAGCAAACGGGAUUAGAUACCCCGGUAGUCCAUGCCGUAAACGAUGUCAACUAGCCGUUGGAAGACUUGAUCUUUUAGUGGCGCAGCUAACGCAAUAAGUUGACCGCCUGGGGAGUACGGCCGCAAGGUUAAAACUCAAAUGAAUUGACGGGGGCCCGCACAAGCGGUGGAGCAUGUGGUUUAAUUCGAUGCAACGCGAAGAACCUUACCUGGUCUUGACAUCCUGCGAACUUUCUAGAGAUAGAUUGGUGCCUUCGGGAACGCAGUGACAGGUGCUGCAUGGCUGUCGUCAGCUCGUGUCGUGAGAUGUUGGGUUAAGUCCCGUAACGAGCGCAACCCCUAUCCUUAUUUGCCAGCACGUAAUGGUGGGAACUCUAGGGAGACUGCCGGUGACAAACCGGAGGAAGGUGGGGACGACGUCAAGUCAUCAUGGCCCUUACGACCAGGGCUACACACGUGCUACAAUGGUAAGCACAGAGGGUCGCCAAGCCGCGAGGUGGAGCUAAUCCCAGAAAGCUUAUCGUAGUCCGGAUUGGAGUCUGCAACUCGACUCCAUGAAGUCGGAAUCGCUAGUAAUCGUAGAUCAGAAUGCUACGGUGAAUACGUUCCCGGGCCUUGUACACACCGCCCGUCACACCAUGGGAGUGGAUUGCACCAGAAGUAGUUAGUCUAACUUAGUGAGGACGGUCACCACGGUGUGAUUCAUGACUGGGGUAAAGUCGUAACAAGGUAACC